rnacentral:rRNA from 1 species
UACGAACCGUCCAAACGUUAUUCGGAAUCACUGGGCUUAAAGGGUACGUAGGCGGCGCUGUUAGUCGGGUGUGAAAGCCCUCGGCUCAACCGAGGAAUUGCGUCCGAUACUGCAGUGCUUGAGGGAGACAGAGGUAAGCGGAACUGAUGGUGGAGCGGUGAAAUGCGUUGAUAUCAUCAGGAACACCGGUGGCGAAAGCGGCUUACUGGGUCUUUUCUGACGCUGAGGUACGAAAGCUAGGGGAGCAAAUGGG